AAACAGAACUUGAUAAAUGUGUUCUGGUUUGCGCGAAUUGCCAUCGCGAACUUGAAGCCGGCGUUACGCAGCUUCCCUGGGAAACCAAGGAUGAAAAACGAGGUGAAAUCGGGGAAGCCCAAUAAUAUUGGGUAAUCCCGAGCCAAGCCCUAAAUUUUAGGGAAGGCGUAGAGACUAUCCUUUUUAGGAGUAGUCCACAAUUUCAUUGUGGCCGAAGCGCUUCGCACCCUAAUCUUAAGUAAAGAUGGGUGAUAAUAUAGUCCACACCUAUGGCAACAUAGGA
rnacentral:ncRNA from 1 species